rnacentral:rRNA from 1 species
AACGAACGCUGGCGGCAUGCCUAACACAUGCGAGUCGAACGAGACCUUCGGGUCUAGUGGCGCACGGGUGCGUAACGCGUGGGAACCUGCCCUUAGGUUCGGAAUAACUCCCCGAAAGGGGUGCUAAUACCGGAUAAUGUCUUCGGACCAAAGAUUUAUCGCCUUUGGAUGGGCCCGCGUUGGAUUAGCUAGUUGGUAGGGUAAAAGCCUACCAAGGCGACGAUCCAUAGCUGGUCUGAGAGGAUGAUCAGCCACACUGGGACUGAGACACGGCCCAGACUCCUACGGGAGGCAGCAGUGGGGAAUAUUGGAAAAUGGGCGAAAGCCUGAUCCAGCAAUGCCGCGUGAGUGAUGAAGGCCUUAGGGUUGUAAAGCUCUUUUACCCGGGAUGAUAAUGACAGUACCGGGAGAAUAAGCUCCGGCUAACUCCGUG